UAUUUCAUUCUUUCAGCUGUAUCUCUCUUUCUCUGGUUUCACUCUACAUCGUCUUCGAACUUGGAUUUAUCAUCUCUUCAUCGGCUACAAUUCCUCAAACACGUUAAAUCUCAUUCAUCUUUUUCCCCUUGAUUUUAUUACAUCUUGAAAGAUCUACAAACAUAUCCACCUGCACCGACACCUUCAUCUCGCAAAAAGCUCACAAAAUCAUCCAAAAAGCCGAAAUUCACCCCCAAACCAUCGGUUCAGAGGAGAGGAACUUUUGUCUUACCUAAAAGUGACAGUAGUGAUGAUGAUUCUGAAACCGAGCAGGAAUUACUCCACACAGUCAUUCUUAUGCAAGUCAUGCAAUGGGCAGAGGGUGGUGAGAGGCCCAAGUCUGUGAAAGUUAAUAUCAUGCCAGGGUGUGUUCUAUCAGAUGUACAGUACCCGUGCAACCCAUGAAGCUAUAGUUGCCUUACGAUCGAAAUAAUGAAUACUCCUAUCGUUUGGUUGACAAACAUGUGUGUAUUCAUUGGCUUCGAGAAUUGAAAACCAAAUCGGCAAUUCGAACUAAAGAAGUUUCUUCUUUUCAUGAUAUCAUUUAUGCUUCUAUCAAGGUCUUUGAUCAUUCCGUGGAGGAGUACAUAACUGCCUAUGAGAUCUUUCACCUUCUAAUUUAGAUGAUCUGAGUUUAUCUUUUAGCAAAUGGAGACUUCAUUCUUCAAAGUUUUGCAGCACCUAGCAUCACUACACGGCUAUUCAAUUUCUUCUCGGAUUCACACUUCCCCUCUUCGAUUGAUAUUUGUGAUGUUACGUUUGAAGUUAAGUAUUUCAUGAUAGGAGGACGGUAUUUGUUCCACCUGUUACCUACCAUGAUGCCAUUAAAGGUUUCAAGAAGGUUGGUGUUAUUGGAUUGGGUCCCAGGGUUCAUGCACAUUAACAACAGUCGAUAGCAUUGAUGAAGUGACUUUCUUUCAACCGGAAGUUUCAUCAGGUACACUCUUGGUGAUCCAGCAAAAGAAGUAUUAAAACACUCAUGUCAAGAUUUGAUGAUGAUAUGCCAGGAUGUCCGAAGCACCUUUUAUCAAGCUGUUGCUGAAUUUAAGAACAAUAACAGUUCUGAAAGCGAGUAAAUGAACUACUCUUUUGAUCCUUUUAUAUUUAUAUCCACUUACUGAUUGUAUGGUUUGAUUUUGUUUGUUAUGACUGGUGGAAUUUUGUCUUUUUCUCAGACUUUGUUUUGUAUCUACCUUAUUUAGAGGUGACAAGUUCAGUCAGU
rnacentral:lncRNA from 1 species